AGAAAAGUUAAGCAUGUCUACUCACAUGUUCACUAUAAAUUUCUCUCCUUUUUCACUUUCCUGAUUCGCUCCCUCCGUCCCUUCCGUUGUCUGUGGCCUUCCAUAUCUCUUUGUCCAUCUACUACUCCCUCAACAGAAAGUGUUCAAGAGCUUAAUCAUGAAAUAUCUUAUUGGUGUUUGCAUCAUUGUGUUGUGGGCAUUUGCAUGCCCAAGCAUGUCUCGAGUGUUGCAUGAAUCAUCUGUUAUUAAAGCGCAUCAGCAAUGGAUGAUAAAGUAUGGAAUCGCAUAUGCAAAUAGUUCUGAGGCGGAAAAACGCUUUAAUAUAUUCAAAGAGAAUUAUGAAUUCAUUGAAAAUUUUAACAAUGAAGGAAACCACACUUACUGGCUUGGCUAUAGUCAAUAUUCUGAUUUAACUGAUGAAGAGCUUGCCAGGAAAUAUAAGUGCUGAUAAUAAGGCAGGCUGGAGGAGCUAAAGGUCAAUAUUGUCGCCUUGCUAUAAGUGCCUUUUACCCCACUAUAUAAUUUUCAUAUUGGUAUUGAAAUUAAAUAAAAGAAACAUUUUAAUACGUUGUGGGUUUGAAAUGACAUAUAUUACUCUUUAUUGGUAUUGA